rnacentral:tRNA from 1 species
GCGGGUGUAGCUCAGUGGUAGAGCGCUGGCUUCCCAAGCCAGUUAUGUGGGUUCGAUUCCCAUCACCCGCUCCA